ACCGGGAGAGGAUGUCAGCCUAGUCGGAGAUUUUACAGGAAAUUGGAAAGAUCCGAUUAAGGCAACCCAUAAAGGUGGAGCUAGAUGUGAAGUUGAAAUUAGGCUUCCUCAAGGAAAAUAUUACUACAAAUAUAUUAUUAAUGGGAGCUGGCGGCAUUCAACGUCUUCACCAACUGAAAGGGAUGAGAGGGGGAACAUUAACAAUGUUAUCAUGAUUGGUGACACUGCUAGUGUGAGGCCCUCAAUACAACCACAACAGAAGGAUGCCAAUCUUAUAAAGGUGAUAGAGAGGCCCUUGACAGAGAAUGAGCGGUUCAUGCUGGCGAAGGCAGCUUGUUGCAUUGCAUUCUGUCUGUCCGAUCAGGUUAGUCCCCAAGUAGUUUUCGUCACUUCAAUUCCACAAAGUAAUAUUUGG